GGAUCUGUCUCCUCUGCAACCCCGCGGCCGCUCCUCCCGACCCCAGGGACAGCCAAGCCCACCACCCUCACUCGGCGGCUCGGCUAGGUCCCGGCCCCUCCUCCGGGGCCCUCCUCUUCCCUCGCCCCUCCCGAGCCGGGGUGGGAGCGGCGGCAGCUGGAAGAGAAGGGAUGAGGUCAUCCUCUCCCUCGGAGUCAGCUGGUGGAGGAGAGGAAGAGGGAGGAGGGAGCGCGCGCGAGGGGAGGAGAGGAAUGUGCCUGUCCGAGGAGCGCCGGGGUGGCCGCUGCUGCUCCAGCUGCUGGCGGCGGCGGCGACUCGGGCGGCAGCGGCGGGGCCGGGACGGCCAAGAGCGCGGGCGGCAGGCAGGGGCGCGCGUGGGGCGCCGCCAGCAGCUUGGCUCCGCGCAGGCAGCCAGGCGGCGCUCCUGCCGGCCCCAGGCGCGCCGCUAGCCCGGCCCAGCGCCCAGUACGGCGGGCGGUGGCAGGCGGCGGGCGGCGGGCGAGCCGGCGCAGGAGCAGGAGGAGGGGGAGCCGCGACGCCAGGGAGGGAAGCCGAGGCGAGGCGAGGAGGUGGCGGGAGGAGGAGACAGCGGGGAAAGGUGUCAGAUAAAGGAGGGUUCUCCUCCGGUUUGGAGGCAUCAUGGCCGCUAAGUCAGACGGGAGGCUGAAAAUGAAGAAGAGCAGCGACGUGGCGUUCACCCCGCUGCAGAACUCGGACCACUCGGGUUCGGUGCAGGGAUUGGCUCCGGGCUUGCCGUCGGGGUCGGGAGCCGAGGACGAGGAGGCGGCUGGGGGCGGCUGCUGCCCGGACGGCGGCGGCUGUUCGCACUGCUGCUGCUGUUGCUCGGGCAGCGGUGGCUCGGGCGGCGGCUCCGGGGGCUCCGGCGGCCCGGGCGGCAGCGUUGGUGGCCCCGGCGGCGGGGCAAGCUCGGCGGCGCUGUGCCUGCGCCUGGGCGGGGAGCAACGGCGCUACUCGCUGUGGGACUGCCUCUGGAUCCUGGCCGCCGUGGCCGUGUACUUUGCGGACGUGGGCACGGACAUCUGGCUUGCCGUGGACUACUACUUGCGCGGCCAGCGCUGGUGGUUCGGACUCACGCUCUUCUUCGUGGUGCUUGGCUCGCUCUCAGUGCAAGUGUUCAGCUUCCGCUGGUUUGUGCACGAUUUCAGCACCGAGGACAGCGCCGCCGCUGCCGCCUCCAGCUGCUCGCAGCCUGGAGCCGAUUGCAAGACGCUGGUUAGAAGUGGAUCUGCAGCCGCGGAAGGAGAGGUUCGUCCUUCCACGCCUCAAAGGCAAGCAUCCAACGCCAGCAAGAGCAACAUCGCCGCUCCCAACACUGGCAGCAACAGCAUCGGGGCCAGCGGCAAGCACAGGUCUGCCUCCUGCUCCUUCUGCAUCUGGCUCCUGCAGUCACUCAUCCACAUCUUGCAGCUCGGGCAGAUCUGGAGAUAUUUCCACACAAUAUACUUAGGUAUUCGAAGCCGACAGAGUGGGGAGAAUGACAGAUGGAGGUUUUACUGGAAAAUGGUGUAUGAGUAUGCAGAUGUGAGUAUGCUGCAUUUGCUAGCCACCUUUCUGGAAAGUGCUCCACAGCUGGUCCUGCAGCUCUGCAUUAUCGUACAGACUCAUAGCUUACAGGCCCUCCAAGGUUUCACAGCGGCAGCCUCCCUGGUAUCUCUGGCUUGGGCCUUGGCCUCAUACCAGAAGGCCCUCCGGGACUCCCGAGAUGACAAGAAGCCCAUCAGCUACAUGGCUGUUGUCAUCCAGUUCUGCUGGCACUUCUUCACCAUCGCUGCCAGGGUCAUCACCUUUGCCCUCUUUGCCUCGGUUUUCCAGCUGUACUUUGGGAUCUUCAUCGUCCUUCACUGGUGCAUCAUGACCUUCUGGAUCGUCCACUGUGAGACAGAAUUCUGUAUCACCAAAUGGGAAGAGAUCGUGUUCGACAUGGUGGUGGGGAUCAUCUACAUCUUCAGCUGGUUCAACGUCAAGGAAGGCAGGACACGCUGCAGGCUCUUCAUUUACUAUUUUGUGAUCCUUUUGGAAAAUACAGCCUUGAGUGCCCUCUGGUACCUCUACAAGGCUCCCCAGAUUGCAGAUGCAUUUGCCAUCCCGGCGCUGUGUGUGGUGUUCAGCAGCUUUUUAACGGGCGUGGUUUUUAUGCUGAUGUAUUAUGCCUUCUUUCACCCCAAUGGACCCAGAUUCGGGCAGUCGCCAAGUUGUGCUUGUGAGGACCCCGUCGCUGCCUUCACCCUGCCUCCAGAAGUGGCCACGAGCACGCUGCGGUCCAUCUCCAACAACCGCAGUGUUGUCAGUGACCGCGACCAGAAAUUUGCAGAGCGGGAUGGGUGUGUACCUGUCUUUCAGGUGAGACCCACAGCCCCAUCCACCCCAUCAUCGCGCCCGCCACGGAUUGAAGAAUCUGUCAUUAAAAUUGACCUGUUCAGGAAUAGGUACCCAGCGUGGGAGAGACACGUUUUGGACCGAAGCCUCCGGAAGGCCAUUUUAGCCUUUGAAUGUUCACCGUCUCCUCCAAGGCUGCAGUACAAAGAUGACGCCCUAAUUCAGGAGCGGCUGGAGUAUGAAACCACUUUAUAAAAACAAAAAGACUGGGAGGAGCCACAGCUGCCAGAGAAAGGGUGGUGGCAGGCCUGUGGCAAUAAUGAAACUCCAUCCUAGAGUAGGGAAAUGAGCUGUCAUGCUUGUAGUCUGACCGUCGUCAUGGUUACUGUCUGACCCUCCGUCAGCUGACUGCCUGCUGCUGGCCUUCUUUCAAACAGCAGCCCCGACAGUCUCCUGCCACUGGGAGGACUCCUGGUUGCUACCAACUUGUCCUACACUAUCUUUCAGCGCAUCCACCCGAGGGUCCUAUGAAUAUGGAAAAUGUUGCCUCUGAUCCCUAGGGUGUUUUGAUGAAAUUAACUGAUCUCUGCAUAAAAAUAUAGUGUCAUAACACACAUACAUGCACACACAUACACUAACACACACACACACAACACCAGUCCUCUGUCAAAAUAGCUUAGGUGAUUUUUCUUGAUGAAAAGCUCUGAUUCUCACAGGAAUAUUAAAACCGGGAGAGAAUAUAUCCCUCAAGACUCCAGGAAAAAAGUAGUACUGCUUAGAAAAGAAUUCAUAAACCAUGCUCAUUUGGAAACCAAUACAUACCAUGUGUGAAAAGCCUGUCCAGUGGACAGCAAACUCAAGUGUGUUUACACGUGUAUUAGAAGUGAAGGAAUGGUUCGUUUUCAACACAUUUCAGGAUUGGUUUUUUAAUCUUAAGUUUCCAGUUGAGAACAUCUUUAAUGACAGAAAUCCUAUGCAGCACAUGUAUGGCGUUUGGUAAGACCAAGGAGCUCGCUAACUUAGUGACAAAGUAAAUGGUAAUCGUGAUUCAGUAUUCAAUUGCAAAAAUUUAAUAAAUACCGGAAGAGAAAGUGGGAAAAAAGGCAAAAUGAGCGUCUGAUUUCCCGGCCUGGGCAGCGCACAUUGGAACGUAAGAGCAGAUUGGCGAGAGAGGACCGGGUUGGAACUGGAUGUGUCAGAUCUCAGAAGGCGUGGCUCUGCCUGAGCUCAGGUAGGCAUGAUUCCAGAACACGCCAUGCCCCAUCUUUCUAGUGCCAAACACCGUCCAAUCCCAGGACUCACCUGGAAGCCCUGGAUAACUGAGAUGGAGCGGCAUGAGCCCCACAGAAGCGGAAACUAGAAUGAACAUUCAAGUUCUCCACUGUGUACAGACUCCCCCACCACCACCACCAAUUCAAGGUCAAAGUGAUGUGUCUUUUAGAGGCUUUGGGACACUUUUUAAACCGUCUGGGAACUUGUCAAGCUUUACUGAAGGUGAUUUGCGUUCGUUCAUUCAACAGACCCUUGAAUCUUGCAAAUUCUUGACUUGUAAUAUGGUAGCCAAGCCACUGCAAGGGAAAAUCAAUCAGUUAGUGGGAAGGGGCCCUGCGCUCUGUGCUGUGUGGUGAUGUGCCCGGCCGGCCAAAGAGAAAGACCCCGGUGAAGUAGAGCACUUGGGAAUUCCUGCUCCUGCUUCCUCGUCAUCCACGCUAUGGAUAUUCACCCACUUCAUUUGCUUUUGCCAGUAAGCACUGCUUUGAAAAAAAAAAGAAAAAGGAUUCAAUGGAUUCCUGGGGCCUUGCAUCACUCAGAAAAUGGGUACUGGGUCAUAGGGACUCACUUUCAAUGAAUACAAAUCUACUUGUGUUUGAAAAUGGAAAAAAAAAAUGAUAUUGUCACCUGUUUCAUGAUUGAUCUGUCUGGGUAUAGCUGCUGCCCUUACUUCAUUUCUUAGAAGUGCCGUUGUCAGCAUUGUAAUAACAAAUUUAUACAAAUCAAAUUUAUAAUUCCAUUUCAGAGGUAAAAUCUGCAUGGCUGUAGCUAUUGAAUAAUUUGACUCCUGCCUUGCUAGGUGGUGACACUGCCAGUUUCAAACGGAGAUGCAUUUGUAUGUAGAACUGGCUCUCCUGUUGCUUCGACCCUGGCAAAACCUUGGUUGUGACUCUAAAAUCCCCGAUCUCACAUUCUCAGUUCCCGUAUACGUAAACAGAUCGUCUCCUAAUUUAAAACCGUGCUUCUUUUCCACUUGCUUCUCUGUUUUUAAAGAACACUUUGAGCUGCAGGGUAAGAAUGAGUCGAGUUCACGUUAUAGUUUCAGAGUUUGCAACCAAGUCAGGCAUCUAUAAGGUGUUAUGUUUUCUGUCCAAAUGCCUUCAUAUAAGAAUUUUAGGAGUUAACCAUAAAUGAAUGAGUAAAAGUCAUCUGAUUUAUCCACCAAACAAUCUAAAUGGAAAAAAAAAUAAGAAAAAGAAGCAGGGGUCAUUUUCCUUGUGUUUCAAAGAUGUUUUUCCUGAGCGACAGUCCCCGUUUUAGGCGCCAGCGUCAUGCUGCGUCCCCUCCCCUGGCAAGUCAUUUUCAGAAGUGAAAUUUAAUGGUAAUAAAAGUGGCCUGCCACCAUGUGACUAAUUUGCAGUGGCAAGGCAAUGGAAACCAACACAUGGAAGAAAAUGUUCAUUUCCUGAACUCCACAGCCAAAAUAGGCACAAAAGGUACUCUAAUCUACCAUGAGUUGGUAAUGAUUGUGGAGACACAGGAGCAAUAAACCGUCCUCUUCCAUAAGGCUUAUGAGUAAGCGUGCCUCUGAGUAGUGUUAGGACAGAAGGUUUCUAUUCAUGUGGAGGUCGGGGUGUGGAGAUUGAAGAGGAAACCCGUCGGUGGGUCGUCAGGAAUACUUGCCUUCUUCUAGAGCAGAGGUUCAAGGUGGCACUGCCGUUUAAUAACCAUGACAAUAGAUGUGUCUGUUUAUGAAAGGCCAAAGCAUGAGUGCGGUGGGAAGACAGAGGAGAUGCCGUGGUUUCCUGUCUGAGCCUAACUCUGUCCUUAAGGAAACUGUCCCCCAGGACAACUCUCCUUGGACACUGCAGCUGCCAACAGCUUCUGGUGCGUUAUAAGAUGCGAUAGGUUAAGGUCUUGUAAGUACUUUUGCUUGCAGGACAUGAUCCAUCGAAUUAUCCCUCAUUUUAACCACCGUGAGAUUCAGGGUCACCAUGGCCUUGCUCAUUAUCCCAUUGUCAAUAGUUCAUGACAUCACACGGACCUCUGUGUUCACAUUCACUACACCUGGCUUGCACAUAUUAACUGACUCGUUUAAACGUAUUUUGGGUCUUGAUUCUGCCAUCCGCUAGUCUGUGCAUCGAUCCCCAUGUUGGAAAAAUAAUUCUUGUGAGAAUGAUUUUUAGAAUAAUGGAAGGGGGGAAAAACAAUUUUUCAAUGUAGACAAAAUUACUAGACCAUUGAUAGCCCUAAAGCUCUGAUUGUUCCUCACGAUUAAGUUUCUUGUCACUGGGGGCUUUUAACAUCUGAAUUUUCCAGGUGGUUGCUAAGCCAUCUUCACUAAACUGAAGUGGACACUAUGGUGUUAUUAAAAAACAAAGACUGUCCCCAUGAAUGCACAUCUCCCCAUGGAAGUGAAGCGUUAGGUCACCCAAGGAGUAAAUUUGGUCUUUGUGAUGUCAAACAUCUGGAUAUUUGGGAACAUCUAGGUGUUUGAAUCACAGUUUUUCCUCUGGUUGUCGGGUGUUGCCUAGAGAGACAGAAAAGGCUCAGGUGUUGUAGGCAUGGAGUUUAACUUCCUUGUGCAGUAAUCUGCUGCUGGUGAUGCUCUGCUGCUAAAUAAAAGCUCUUUGUUGUGCAAAGAGAAGUAAAUAAUGCAGAGAAAUGCCAUUUGAUGUUUAUUUACUUUCAACAAACACAUGAAUGAAAGAGGUUUGAGAGGCUGUAUUCACACGUGAUUGCACCACAGGGCUGCUUCCGACACUCAGCCCUUCCUGGCAAGGAACCUUUUCAUUCAGCCCGUUUCCAUCUUUCAUUAUUUUAUAGUUACCCCUCUGCUCUUCACAUAAGGUUAGUCAUUCACAAUGUUUGACAGAAUUGUUCAAGGGAAAUACAAAUUCGUUAACUUUUUAUUCUUCAAAUGGGAGUUUUAAUUUUAAGAAUUUCUUAUAUCUUUGGGCAUAGAAUAGUUUAAACUGCUUGAUGCAGUUACUUCAUGGUGAAUUUUAUAGUAUUGAUAGAAGUAAAAUCUUUUUUUCCCCAAAUUAAAAAAAAAAAUACUUUUUUUUCUUGUGGCUUGAUUGGUCGAUGUCAUUCUGAUUGCCAAAGACCAACUGGUUAUUGCAUAUUAGAAUACUGGUGUUUUCUUUACAGUCACCAUUAAAAGAAAAAAAAUGAUAUCAAAGAGAAAUUGAUUUUCCAGAAAGGAUGCUUGAGCUAUUCAUACAACUCUUAUAUUUAUGAUUCUUUGUGGACAUUUCUUCCUUGUUUCCUCAGAUUUGGCUCUGGAUUGGUGAGCAUGUGUAUUUCCUCAAAUUGUGUGCUUACCUUACUUACUGUUCUGAAGCUGGCCAGAGAAACAGGCAAACAAUUCAGCCCAAUUUUCUUUGAAGUGUGCUUAUGUUGUAAAACUUUCCCCAGGGCAUUGACAACAAGCAGGCACACGGACCACCGGGAGGGACUCAGCUAUGCAAAGAUCAUGAGGGGAUUGCCAGAGAAUAUCAAAAUGUUUGUAGGUUCUUAGAAAGUGUUUUGGUUGUGUCAAAUCCUACAUUUAGUGCCAACUUAGAAAGACUUCAUGGGGUAGGCAGUUCCCUUCCUCACUGAGCCCCUCCUGCCAUCAGAUGCAGAAGUUUCCCGAAAAUCAAAUGGCCACUCCACUUUGUGUACCAAAGGGCUCCAGCUACUGGUGUCAUGGCUAUGUGCGAACUGUGUUUUGUAAAUUCUCCUUUGGGGGCAAGUCCGUUUGCUAGUCACACACCCUUCAAAGCCUCCAGGAUCACAAAGCUGCUACCCAACUUAGCUUUGCUUUGCUUUUUCCUUGCGAUUUUUACUUCACUGCAUCCUUUUCCAAAUCAUUUAUGCCUUCGUGUUAUUGACAGGAUGUUUAGUUCAAUGCUUAGGUGAAUUGGCAACAGAGAGACGAUUAGUUGGCAACUACAAAAACCUGAGACAUUCUUUUCCAGUUAUCUCUUAUGUGAUAAUUGAAUGGAAUUUAUGGUUUAAUAGAAAACUGAAAGUCCCUGUGUUGAAUAUAAUUACUGUUUUGUUUUACUUUUUUUUAUUUGAAAGAGAGAGGAAGGGAGAGA